rnacentral:lncRNA from 1 species
AGACCCCAGUGUGGGAAGGAAGCCCCUGGGUCCCACAGAAGGUCCAGAAGGUGGAUAAACCUCUAAGAUAAUAGCAUGAAAUUUGCCAUAAUGAUAUCAUCAGCAGGUCAGAUGGGACACAAGCGUCUGUGGAUUUACUUUCAACUCCACUGCCACAUAUUAGUGGAGACUCCAGGAGUGGAUGAAUUUUUUGCAGAUGAGUCUCCUUCUCCUUGUCUCAACUUCUCUUCCAACUAAAGACUCCCAUAAAACACGCUAUCUGCAGAAUUCUCAGGAGGGAAGAGAAGUUGAGCCAUAACCUCCUAACCUCUGCGGCACACCCUCGGCCAGCAACCUCAUUCUCCUUCUGGCAUUUGGAGGGCUCUGUGGAUCCCUUGCCCUCAGAAAUGCUAUCAACAUAAUGAAAGUUGAGAUGAAAAUUAAUCAUUUGCUGAGCUUCCUCCUGCAUCUGUUUUAAAACCUUCUGAGGGUGAGAGGAAUCUGUAGAACCUUGGAAGGCUGUGCUGGGAUUCCCACUGACUAUACUGGGAAAUCUGAGGUGAUCCAUUCGAAGCAGUUAUUAGGAAGAAAUGAGAUGACACUGUUUCUCAGCAUUUGAGAUCAAGAACCUCAGAUUGGAACAGGUAUUGUCCCUGAUUUCUCAUAGUUGUCU